AGAGUUUGAUCCUGGCUCAGGAUGAACGCUAGCUACAGGCUUAACACAUGCAAGUCGAGGGGCAGCAUGGUCUUAGCUUGCUAAGGCCGAUGGCGACCGGCGCACGGGUGAGUAACACGUAUCCAACCUGCCGUCUACUCUUGGACAGCCUUCUGAAAGGAAGAUUAAUACAAGAUGGCAUCAUGAGUCCGCAUGUUCACAUGAUUAAAGGUAUUCCGGUAGACGAUGGGGAUGCGUUCCAUUAGAUAGUAGGCGGGGUAACGGCCCACCUAGUCUUCGAUGGAUAGGGGUUCUGAGAGGAAGGUCCCCCACAUUGGAACUGAGACACGGUCCAAACUCCUACGGGAGGCAGCAGUGAGGAAUAUUGGUCAAUGGACGAGAGUCUGAACCAGCCAAGUAGCGUGAAGGAUGAAGGUUCUAUGGAUUGUAAACUUCUUUUAUACGGGAAUAAACGAAUCCACGUGUGGAUUUUUGCAUGUACCGUAUGAAUAAGGAUCGGCUAACUCCGUGCCAGCAGCCGCGGUAAUACGGAGGAUCCGAGCGUUAUCCGGAUUUAUUGGGUUUAAAGGGAGCGUAGAUGGGUUGUUAAGUCAGUUGUGAAAGUUUGCGGCUCAACCGUAAAAUUGCAAUUGAUACUGGCAGUCUUGAGUACAGUUGAGGUAGGCGGAAUUCGUGGUGUAGCGGUGAAAUGCUUAGAUAUCACGAAGAACUCCGAUUGCGAAGGCAGCUUACUAACCUGUAACUGACAUUGAUGCUCGAAAGUGUGGGUAUCAAACAGGAUUAGAUACCCUGGUAGUCCACACGGUAAACGAUGAAUACUCGCUGUAGGCGAUAUACAGUCUGCGGCCAAGCGAAAGCAUUAAGUAUUCCACCUGGGGAGUACGCCGGCAACGGUGAAACUCAAAGGAAUUGACGGGGGCCCGCACAAGCGGAGGAACAUGUGGUUUAA
rnacentral:rRNA from 1 species